GCCGACACAAGCGCAGGAAGUUGCGCGAUAAGAUCAAUUCUGUGUGCGUUCUGUGAAAUCGAAUUCAUGUAAUAAUACGAAUGCAAAAAAUGCGCAAUAAGGACCCAAACGUUUUUGGAUGAGAUAUUGAUCAAAUGAACCAUCAGAGAGCUUCCGCUCAGGACAUUGUAGUGAAUGAUUUUGGCUUGCGCCGUGUUGCUGCAAAGUCGGUCCCAAGUGACCUGACUUUCAUACAAAAAGGAACCGAGUUGACAUCACUAACGGCAUGAUUUGCAAGGGUGAAUCCGACUCAACAUUCGUCAAACGCAUCACCACAUGAGAUGAGACGUGGGUUUACAAGUACGACACGCAAUCCAGACAUCAGGCGGCUAGUGAUAAGCAGAUAAUACAUGGAACACGGAGCCUACAGGUGAGGUAACCAGACAGAUUAGGCAAAGAAGGAGUGAAUACAGAACUAGUUCCCUCAACAACCUAGACCGGCCUUUAAUUUGUGCAGUGGUUGGCAUUAUCACUGGGCAUUGCCUAAUGGGAAUACAUGGGAAGCGUAUGGGGCUUCACUCUAAUAACUUCUAUAACUAAUAACUUCUUCCGGUAUUUGCCAGAGCGUGACUCCGUUAUCUUAACUCUUACUCCUUUGGAUGUCUGGAACCUGCAACUAUACACAAUUUUUCGUCAUUUAUCAGAGGUACAAAAUGGUUUCACCACAUCGGGAAUUAGAGCGGGAAACUUAUGCCCAAACAAGUGGUAUCACAAUGAACCUCUAGAACUAGGUGAGUGCCUCUA